AUCCGCCUGACGCGUCCCAACUAGAACGAAAUGCGUGUCCUGGAU
rfam:Schistosoma mansoni strain Puerto Rico chromosome W, complete genome